rnacentral:lncRNA from 1 species
CCCUCCCCCAUUCCUAUGAAGACAAAGAUCUCAGCUCUGAUCACUUUUUUGAAGGGAGAAUGUCUUAGAAAUAUGAAAACUGACCUCUAAAGGUAU